rnacentral:lncRNA from 1 species
GAACAAGCACCGUUUGCAUGGAUUGCAUCAAGUACCUCUACCGACGACCCCGAACAUCUACGGAGUUUGCACGAUUGCGAGAUGUGAACCACUACUUCUAAUACCGUCGCCGUGUACAACUACUUCCUCUACGAACUUGAUCCAUUCCGAAAAGUCACGCCUCGAAGGUAUAACCCCGAGACGACGUCCGUGGACCGAAUGCAUGUGUGUUGUAUGAGAUGCUCGUGUUUGCACCGUUUCCGAGAGAGGUCUUUGCACGUUCCUCGAUUGCCAUGCCGCCGUACCGUGGGAACCCGGAAUCCGGGAGCACCCCACCAUCUCUUGCGCAUUUCACACAUCCACACAAUUCUCUUUUGCACCGGUAUCUCCAUUAGCUACCAGAACCGAUAUGGUGCCGUGGCAUCAUUUUCGGAUUCGUUGCCGUAGCACCCCUUUUUUCCACCACGGUAACAAAUGCCUCGUAUCAUUUUAUACCAACACUUUCAUAAAAUUGCAUAUAACUUACAUCUCUCAUUCGCAUCAGGAUAACAACAUUCAAAUGUUUAAAAUUGUGUUUGUAUUAAAAUUGCUAAAUGACAUAUGGGGAUUUUCCGGUAUUGUCGUUUGUUAUUUCCGGCCUCAUUUAAACGUGCCUAGAUAGGUUGUUUAAUUAUGCUUCACCCCUUGCCAUGGUUAACAACAUUUAAUAUUGUUGGUUACAUAAACAAGAGCGAACUAAAUAACUGAUGUGGUGUUUCGUCAAUAUGCAACUCGUUGCAUAUUGAGCUCCACUUAACUUGUAGUUUCGUUUGUGCACUUUGCCAUGCCAUGCAUAUUUAACCGGACAUGCAUCAUAUUUGUUUUUGCAUCAUGCCAUGUGUAUGUGGUGGUUGUUUACUAUGUUGUUUGUUUCUUUCCGGGUUGCUUCUCUCGUUAGCUUCGGUUUCGUUCCGGAGUUGUGAGGAUUCGUUCGACUACGUCCGCUUGUCUUCUUCAUGGACUCGUUCUUCUUCCUUGCGGGAUUUCAGGCAAGAUGACCACCCCUCGAAAUCACUUCUAUCUUUGCUUUGCUAGUUGCUCGUUCUUUUGCCAUGCUGCGCUACCUACCACUUGCUAUAUCAUGCCUCCCAUACUGCCAUGUCAGCCCUAACCUUUUCACCCUUCCUAGCAACCAUUGUUUGGCUAUGUUACCGCUUUGCUCAGCCCCUUCGUAUAGCGUUGCUAGUUGCAAGUGAAGAUGAAGAUUGCUCCAUGUUGGAUUAUGUUUAUGUUGGGAUAUCACGAUAUCUCUUAUCUUAAUUAAUGCAUCUAUAUACUUGGUAAAGGGUGGAAGGCUCGGCCUUAUGCCUGGUGUUUUGUUCCACUCUUGCCGCCCUAGUUUCCGUCAUACCGGUGUUAUGUUCCUUGAUUUUGCGUUCCUUACGCGGUUGUGUGAUUUAUGGGACCCCCUUGACAGUUCGCCUUGAAUAAAACUCCUCCAGCAAGGCCCAACCUUGGUUUUACCAUUUGCUACCACAUAUCCCCUUUUCCCUUGGGUUCUGCAGACUCAAGGGUCAUCUUAUUUUAACCCCCCCGGGCCAGUGCUCCUUCGAGUGUUGGUCCGAACUGAGUAGACUGCGGGGCCCCCUCGUGGAAACUCGAGGUCUGGUUUUACUCGUAGGAUGUCUCAUCCGGUGUUGCCCUGAGAACGAGAUAUGUGCAGCUCCUAUCGGGAUUUGUCGGCACAUCGGGCGGCUUUGCUGGUCUUGUUUUACCAUUGUCGAAAUGUCUUGUAAACCGGGAUUCCGAGACUGAUCGGGUCUUCCUGGGAGAAGGAAUAUCCUUCGUUGACCGUGAGAGCUUAUAAUGGGCUAAGUUGGGACACCCCUGCAGGGUAUAAACUUUCGAGAGCCGUGCCCGCGGUUAUGUGGCAGAUGGGAAUUUGUUAAUAUCCGGUUGUAGAGAACUUGACACUUGACCUUAUUUAAAAUACAUCAACCGCGUGUGUAGCCGUGAUGGUCUCUUCUCGGCGGAGUCCGGGAAGUGAACACGGUUUCUGGGUUAUGUUUGACGUAAGUAGGUGUUCAGGAUCACUUCUUGAUCAUUGCUAGAUGACGACCGUUCUGUUGCUUCUCUUCUCGCUCUCAUUUGCGUAUGUUAGCCACCUUAUAUGCUAGUGCUUUCUGCAGCUCCAUCUCACUACCCCAUCCUUUCCUAUAAGCUUAAAUAGUCUUGAUCUCGCGGGUGUGAGAUUGCUGAGUCCUCGUGACUCACAGUUACUUCCAAACAGUUGCAGGUGCCGAUGAGACCAGUGCAGGUGACGCAACUGAGCGCAAGUGGGAGCUCGACGAAGAUCUUGUUCGUUGUGUUGUUUCUUUUCACGUUGAUCAGUAGUGGUGCCCAGUCGGGACGAUCGGGGAUCUAGCAGUUGGGUUGUCUUCUUUUAUUUUGGUUCCGUAGUCGGACCAAUGUGUGUAUCUUGAAUGAUGUAUGAUUUUAUUAUGUAUUGUGUGAAGUGGCGAUUGUAAGCCAACUCUUUAUCCCAUUCUUGUUCAUUACAUGGGAUUGUGUGAAGAUGACCCUUCUUGCGACAAAACCACAAUGCGGUUAUGCCUCUAAGUCGUGCCUCGACACGUGGGAGAUAUCGCCGCAUUGUGGGCAUUACUAGUUGGUAAUCAGAGCCAUCCCCAACUUUGGAGCCCCCUGCUUGAUCGAAUCGCUGGCGUUGUUGAGUCUAGAACAAAAAUGUUUUGAGUCUUAGGAUUAUAUAUAUAGGAGAGUAGGAUUCUUUUUACUCCUCAGUCCCUUCGUCGCUCUGGUGAGGUCUCCUGACGUAGAAGUUUUGACUCUUCUCUCCUCAAAUUUCGGUAAAUUUUUUUAGGAUCACGCGGGUAUCUUGGAAUCGUUCCAAUGGUUUUGUGAUGAGAACAUUGUUCUUGGUGCCUCCUGACAGUUAGGGGUUGUGGCAGUGUCCCGGGGAGUUGAGCUCCGAGGUGUUGUCGUCACAAUUUUAUCGUUGCAGUUCUGGAAUACCUGAGUUUCGCCGACAUCAAAAUCUCUUUUAUGCAGUUGUUGGUGAGAUCACCUCGACGCCACCCAGUACUGGGGCGGGAGUUCGGGAGUAUUGCCAUAACUCGUAUAACGGAUGUUUUUCGAAGGUUGAGGUAAACGAUUUCUGGAGUUUUCUUGGUUAUGUGUUGACGGAUGGAUACAACUGGAUCUAGGUAUUGUUAGUUUGGGUGAUAUAUUUUGUGUCCCCUGUAUCCCCAACACCAGAUUGCAUAACCAGAAAGUUUCGGGAGUUUAUAAGUGGGAAUUCAAGUAGCUCUUAGGAUAUCUUUCCGACAGAUGCAUGAUAUGAGAUUGGGGUUCGACGUCUAGUGGUCCGCCUAUACACGGUUGGUUUUACAGUGGUCUUGUAGUGUCUUAAAGAGUCCUUGGCUAUGCCAACUCGGGGACGCUUCGUAUGUCAUGUGCACUGCCUUGUACAUGAUGGUGCUGUACGAUCGAGCCCGUGUGGGCCCCACCACGAAAAUUUCGGACGGAAUCUCUAUCAUAUGUUUGUUCCGGCUUAUUCUGCAAGCCAAAUCCUUUGUUUUGUUUUAUUUGUGGUAUUCGAGUUGCUUCGAAGUCAAAUGUUGAUUCCAUACCUUAUUCUAAGCGGUGUUCUCAUAUUCCUAUGUGGAUACUAAUCCUUCUUGAUCAUCGAGUUUGCCAUCUUAAUUCUAUUUCCAACCGGUGUGUUUCUCUUUGAGAUGAUCCCAUCAUUCUCCCCAUUUGGAAGUUCAAUAAUAAGUUUUCUCAACGUCGUUUGUUUCAUCUGCCCCAAGUUGCCUUUCUUUUCCCGCCCUCCCACCCUCUUUCUUCAAGGACUCAGAUGUCUUAACCUAGUAUCCAUUUUAUUCACGUGAAGUCCCUUCAUUCUUUUCAAUCAAUGUUCCUACCCGGUGGUUCUCAUGAAGAUGUUCUUCAGAUGUUUUUCUCAUGCCGGUGUAUCUCUUAAUCACUCACCUCUCGCUUUCCAUGUGUACCGGAGUGUUGAAGAUAUCUCAGGAGAUUUGUGUUUUCAUUCAAGAUCCAUUCUAACUAUUUUGAGGUUGUUAUCUCAUUCAAGCCAUUUAAUUCAACCGGUGCAAUCUCAUUUUCAAGUAAUCAUUUCAACGGUGUUUCUUUCGAGUAGGCCCUAACCCACAGGUAUUUUCCCAGGAUCUUACCUGACUCUUCUAAUUUUUCUGGAGUUAUUCUCAAAUUCUUUUCAAAGUCUGACAUAAGAAUGAGUUAUCAUCAGUCAUAUUUCUUCUCCAAGAUCUUUCAAAUUCUUUUCAUUGUUGAUUCAACCUUUCUAUUCUUCAUGGUUCCGGAGUGCCUCAACAAUUCAUGGUGGUGUUUCUUAUCAUCAUUCUCAACAUUUGAAGACCGAAGAAGAGUUUUUCCUCCAAAUCUUAUCCGUUCUCUUGAAGAUUCAUAGUUCUAGCUUAUGCCAUCCUCUCAUAGUUGUUUUCGAUUGUGAGAAUUCUUUACAUACCCAUCCGGAGCAUUUCAUGAGUUGUUUUCCUUUCUUGAUCAUCCAAAGGCCAUCUUUUCAGAAGAUUUCUUCGUUCUAAGUUUUAAGCUUCGUUCUCCAAUUACUCUAAAGUGAUGUCUCUUCGCUCAUCUCCAUAUUAUUCCGGUGCAUUGUCCAAGUAUCCUCUAAUCAGUUCACGAUCUCUUCGUUCUCAUGUAUCUAAAUCCCCUCAAGUAUUUUCAUUCGUUUUUUCAAUUCUUCCCGGUGAAUUGUGCCUUUGCUACUUUCAUUUUCAAUUCUCGCGGUGGUUCAUUCAGGAUUUCUCUUCCUUCGUUAUCAUAUCAAUUUAUUCAUUGUUUCUAUUCUACCGGUGGUUCGAUGAAGACUUUUCUCAAGUUUGCACUAUAUCUAUCUUAAUCCUUUCUACGAGAAUAAGUAGUAUGCAAGAUCCGUUGCUUGUCAUCAAUCUAAAUUGGUGAAGGAUACGCGUAAUGUAAUUCUUAUUCUUGUAUCAUCCAAGUGAUUAAUUCCUUCUUCCGGAGUUCGUUCAUGAUAUCAAAUUCUCGGUUCCAAGUUGUUCAUCUUUUCUUUCCGGAGAUCCAAGUUAUUUCUUUUCUUUCCGGAGAUCCAAGUUAUUUCAAUUAUAUCAUUUCAAAGCUUCAUCUAAUCAUUGCAAGACUUCUCCCGGAGUUCUUUUCAAUUUUCCCUUUCGUUUGAUCAUUCUUUUAUUACCGGAGUUCUUCAUGGAGGCUCUACGUGGUGCUUCAUCAAGGAUUCAUUUCAUUCUUCAAUUGUUCUUCAAGAUUUCUCUCAGAGUUAAGAUCCGCCAAGCUAUACUUUAAAAUAAACAUGGUGUUCAACACAUGUUUUGUCUUGCGGAGUCCAAGCAUUCUUCAUCUUGCAUUCUAAAGUGCAAUUCUUCCUACCUUAUCUUUUGAGGUGGUGUUAUGUCAUUCUCGAUAAUUUUCCUUCGGGUUUCAUGAUUCACAAAGUUUUCAAGAGUGACAUAUUUAAAUCCAUCAUUUUAUCUUCGUUCAAGGGAUUUUUUCAACCAAUCAAUCUUUUGUUGGAGUUAUCUUGGGUUAUAUUUCACCUAUAGCCUUCCCUAAGGAAUGUAGCUAUUUGUGGUGUUUAUCAAUGAUCCAAGUUUUCUCCUAUCCUCUCGGCGAGAGAAGUUUUCAUCUCUUCGUUGAUCUCAAACAAGCAAUUGUUUUCGUUAGUGGCAAAGUUUUCACCUCAUAUUUUGAGAUGUGUUCAAUAAGCCCACAACAAGAUUGUUCUUUUCGUUGUUGAUUUCCCAACAACUCCGUUAUAACCUUCUUGGAAGGUUGCUUUCCAAAUUCAUUUGUGGAAGCUGUUGUCAUUUCCUUCUCCGUUCUCUUAUUCUGACGAUCUAUCUUCUAUUCAUUCGUCCCAGAGGCAUUGUGAUGUUGCUCUCUUCGAUCAAUCAUCUUGUUUUGUCAAGAACAUGUAAUUUUUCCUUUCUUAUCCAUUUAGCCGGAGUGUCGUGUUUUCACUCGAGUUCUCUCAUCUUAUCAAGUUUCGUCUCCUUCCUCAACCGGAGUGCUGUCUGAAAUCUUUCUUACCCCUUGUCCCAUUCUUUCAUUAGUACCGGAGGCAAUGUGUUGUUAAUUUCAUCGAGUAUCCUCUCAUCUUGUCAAGAUCAUGUUCAAUUCCUUCCAUUAUAGUCGGAGUGCUGCCCAAAUUAUAUCAUUCUUAUUCCUUCCCUAUCUUGUUUUAACCGGAGUGGUUUAAAUAUCUAUCGUGUCAAUUAACCUCAAGGUUCACAUGGUGUUCCUUGUCUCUCUUUUCUACCGGUGUGCUUUCAUAUUCCUUUUGAUCCGUUAAGCUCUUGUUUCAUAUUCUUCAACCUACAAAGGUUCUCGCAAUGUUCCUUGUUCCUCUUGCUGAACGGGGUGUUUUAAAUUUUGUUCAUCUCCGUUGUGUCAUUUCCUCAAGCUUUGCGACCUCUCAAGGUUCUUUGGUUUCACUCAUUUGUCAAAGAAGCAAUUAGUUUUACCUCUUCUCUUCCUCUUCUGCUUUUAUCCGGUGCCAUCCUAGAUCUCGGGACGAGAUCCUCUUGUAGUGGUGGAGUGUUGUAAUGCCCCGAGACCGACGCUUCAGAAGACUUCCUUAUUUUCGUGAUCGCCGUGUGUUCCUUUUGGUGCUUGCUCUUUUAUUUUGCAUUGCAUCAUGUCAUCAUGCCAUCAUGUCAUUAAUCUGUGCAUCAAAACUCAACUAAAUAAAUUGCAUGGAUCUUCGAUCCAUUUAAAUCGAGGGAAUUCACAUGGUGAUUUCCCUUUAUAACAUAUCCUCCUAAUAUUUAUGGAGCUAUUAUAAAUAUUCCAUUAGUUUGGAAUUAACCUUAACACACGUGCAAAAUUAAUCCUAUGCCUUUUCUGCCUUGAGUCGAUCUCUCUAACCUUGCCAAUAAUUCUUUUCCCAUUUAGCGAGGCUCUUCCUAAAUUCCCAACAUUUGUGGACUCCUCAAUACCUUGAACUCUUUCAAAUCAUUUGAAUUUAAAUCAAAUGACUUUGAGUUUAAAUCUUUCAAUCAUGGCCUUUCCUAUUUUCUCGGAACAAGCACUUUGUUGUGAGUCCGGGAAAAUAAUCCCCAUGCCCAAAUUCUUGUCCACUCUUUCCUUUUCUCUCCUUUUCUUUCUUUGCUUUUUCUGUUUUUAUAAGAGUUUUGUAGAAGAGAGGGAGUGGAGAGCCCAGCAGCCUCCCUCUUCACUGGGCCGGCCUCUAGGCCCAGCAGCCCCUCGCUAACCUAGCCCGAUCCCCAUCUCUCCCUUCGUUCUCCUCUUGCGCCGCCACUUCCUCCUCUCGAUCUCUCCCUCAUCUCCCUGCAGCGCCGCCAGCCUCCCCUGUCUCAUCCUCCCGAUCCCCUCACCCUCUUCCUCUCGUCCUCUCCCUUGCACCGCCACCCAGAGAGAGGAGAGGAGCGAGACCCCCUAUCGCCGACCGCCCGAGGAGAGGAGUUCCUCGAGCACCGGCCGCCCGCAGCAUCCUCCUCCCCUCGCGACCUCCCCAUCCACAUCCGCUGCUGGUGCCUCCCGUCGUCAUCUUCAAGCUCGUCGCGCAGCCGCCGCCCGGAUCCACCCCCGGCUGCCAUCCAGGACCUCGUCUGCCUCCCCUACACCACGCCCCGUCGCUGGGAGCUCGCAUCAAGUCCACCUCUCCUCGCCAUGGCCCUCGCGAACUUCCUCACCGCCGCCUCUUCUCCUGCUUCUCCUCGUCACCACCAACCCGCCGUUCGCCUCCAGCCCUCGUCUGCGUCCGCGCCAAGUCCAGCGAGGCGUCGCCUUACCUGCUGCCUCCCGCGUCUCCUCGUCGCGAGCUGGCUCCACCGCGCCUCGAUCCUCCUCUGCUAGCGCCUCUGUUGCCUCUGCCGCCCUUGCUGCCGUAGCUUUGCCCUGCUGCUCCUCAUGCUGGAGUUUCAGCAAGACCCUGGUCGACCUCCUCCUUGACGACCCCCGCACCCUGCCUGCUCGUCCCUUCGCCGCUUGCGGUCCAACUCCGAGGUCACGGCGGUGUAGUCGAACUUGACAAAAACGGCAAGACCACACGGACGCUCGAACGACUACACACUGAAACGUCAAGUACCUCGUCAAUGUGUACGACUACCAUCGCCGCGAAGACCGUGAGUUCAACUACUUCCAGAACGCGUCAUGUACGACUACCGUCGCUUGGGUUCGACAAGUCGUCGAGUACCACUACGCUGGCCAAGUACACCUUCGUCAAGACCGAUGCCCGAACAAGCACCGUUUGCAUGGAUUGCGUCAAGUACCUCUACCGGCGACCCCGAACAUCUACGGAGUUUGCACGAUUGCGAGAUGUGAACCACUACUUCUAAUACCGUCGCCGUGUACAACUACUUCCUCUACGAACUUGAUCCGUUCCGAAAAGUCACGCCUCGAAGGUAUAACCCCGAGACGACGUCCGUGGACCGAAUGCAUGUGUGUUGUAUGAGAUGCUCAUGUUUGCACCGUUUCCGAGAGAGGUCUUUGCACGUUCCUCGAUUGCCAUGCCGCCGUACCGUGGGAACCCGGAAUCCGGGAGCACCCCACCAUCUCUUGCGCAUUUCACACAUCCGCACAAUUCUCUUUUGCGCCGGUAUCUCCAUUAGCUACCGGAACCGAUAUGGUGCCGUGGCAUCAUUUUCGGAUUCGUUGCCAUGGCACCCCUUUCUUCCACCACGGUAACAAAUGCCUCGUAUCAUUUUAUACCAACACUUCCAUAAAAUUGCAUAUAACUUACAUCUGUCAUUCGCAUCAUGAUAACAACAUUCAAAUGUUUAAAAUUGUGUUUGUAUUAAAAUUGCUAAAUGACAUAUGGGGAUUUUCCGGUAUUGUCGUUUGUUAUUUCCGGCCUCAUUUAAACGUGCCUAGAUAGGUUGUUUAAUUAUGCUUCACCCCUUGCCAUGGUUAACAACAUUUAAUAUUGUUGGUUACUUAAACAAGAGCGAACUAAAUAACUGAUGUGGUGUUUCGUCAAUAUGCAACUCGUUGCAUAUUGAGCUCCACUUAACUUGUAGUUUCGUUUGUGCACUUUUCCAUGCCAUGCAUAUUUAACCGGACAUGCAUCAUAUUUGUUUUUGCAUCAUGCCAUGUGUAUGUGGUGGUUGUUUACUAUGUUGUUUGUUUCUUUCCGGGUUGCUUCUCUCGUUAGCUUCGGUUUCGUUCCGGAGUUGUGAGGAUUCGUUCGACUACGUCCGCUUGUCUUCUUCAUGGACUCGUUCUUCUUCCUUGCGGGAUUUCAGGCAAGAUGACCACCCCUCGAAAUCACUUCUAUCUUUGCUUUGCUAGUUGCUCGUUCUUUUGCCAUGCGGCGCUACCUACCACUUGCUAUAUCAUGCCUCCCAUACUGCCAUGUCAGCCCCUAACCUUUUCACCCUUCCUAGCAACCGUUGUUUGGCUAUGUUACCGCUUUGCUCAGCCCCUUCUUAUAGCGUUGCUAGUUGCAGGUGAAGAUGAAGAUUGCUCCAUGUUGGAUUAUGUUUAUGUUGGGAUAUCACAAUAUCUCUUAUCUUAAUUAAUGCAUCUAUAUACUUGGUAAAGGGUGGAAGGCUCGGCCUUAUGCUUGGUGUUUUGUUCCACUCUUGCCGCCCUAGUUUCCGUCAUACCGGUGUUAUGUUCCUUGAAUUUGCGUUCCUUACGCGGUUGGGUGAUUUAUGGGACCCCCUUGACAGUUCGCCUUGAAUAAAACUCCUCCAGCAAGGCCCAACCUUAGUUUUACCAUUUGCUACCACCUAUCCCCUUUUCCCUUGGGUUCUGCAGACUCAAGGGUCAUCUUAUUUUAACCCCCCCGGGCCAGUGCUCCUUCGAGUGUUGGUCCGAACUGAGUAGACUGCGGGGCCCCCUCGUGGAAACUCGAGGUCUGGUUUUACUCGUAGGAUGUCUCAUCCGGUGUUGCCCUGAGAACGAGAUAUGUGCAGCUCCUAUCGGGAUUUGUCGGCACAUCGGGCGGCUUUGCUGGUCUUGUUUUACCAUUGUCGAAAUGUCUUGUAAACCGGGAUUCCGAGACUGAUCGGGUCUUCCUGGGAGAAGGAAUAUCCUUCGUUGACCGUGAGAGCUUAUAAUGGGCUAAGUUGGGACACCCCUGCAGGGUAUAAACUUUUGAGAGCCGUGCCCGCGGUUAUGUGGCAGAUGGGAAUUUGUUAAUAUCCGGUUGUAGAGAACUUGACACUUGACCUUAUUUAAAAUACAUCAACCGCGUGUGUAGCCGUGAUGGUCUCUUCUCGGCGGAGUCUGGGAAGUGAACACGGUUUCUGGGUUAUGUUUGACGUAAGUAGGUGUUCAGGAUCACUUCUUGAUCAUUGCUAGAUGACGACCGUUCUGUUGCUUCUCUUCUCGCUCUCACUUGCGUAUGUUAGCCACCUUAUAUGCUAGUGCUUGCUGCAGCUCCAUCUCACUACCCCAUCCUUUCCUAUAAGCUUAAAUAGUCUUGAUCUCGCGGGUGUGAGAUUGCUGAGUCCUCGUGACUCACAGUUACUUCCAAACAGUUGCAGGUGCCGAUGAGACCAGUGCAGGUGACGCAACUGAGCGCAAGUGGGAGCUCGACGAAGAUCUUGUUCGUUGUGUUGUUUCUUUUCACGUUGAUCAGUAGUGGUGCCCAGUCGGGACGAUCAGGGAUCUAGCAGUUGGGUUGUCUUCUUUUAUUUUGGUUCCGUAGUCGGACCAAUGUGUGUAUCUUGAAUGAUGUAUGAUUUUAUUAUGUAUUGUGUGAAGUGGCGAUUGUAAGCCAACUCUUUAUCCCAU